ACACGUAGGGGCCUGACGUUGUUCGGAAUCAUUGGGCGUAAAGGGCGCGCAGGCGGCCGUCCAAGUCCGGUGUUAAAUGGUCGGGCUCAACACGAGCAUGCGCUGGAAACUGGGCGGCUUGAGUCCCGUAGGGGAUGCCGGAAUUACAGGUGUAGGGGUGAAAUCUGUAGAUAUCUGGAAGAACACCGAUGGCGAAGGCAGGCAUCUGGCCGGAGACUGACGCUGAGGCGCGAAGGCGCGGGGAGCGAACAGGUUUAGAUACCCUGGUAGUCCGCGCAGUAAACGAUGCGCACCAGGUGUCGGGCGGCAGCGCCCGGUACCGGAGCUAACGCGAUGAGUGCGCCGCCUGGGGAGUAUGCCCGCAAGGGUGAAACUCAAAGGAAUUGACGGGG
rnacentral:rRNA from 1 species